rnacentral:rRNA from 1 species
GACAGCCAGGAUGUUGGCUUAGAAGCAGCCAUCAUUUAAAGAAAGCGUAAUAGCUCACUGGUCGAGUCGGCCUGCGCGGAAGAUGUAACGGGGCUAAACCAUGCACCGAAGCUGCGGCAGCGACACUAUGUGUUGUUGGGUAGGGGAGCGUUCUGUAAGCCUGUGAAGGUGUACUGUGAGGUAUGCUGGAGGUAUCAGAAGUGCGAAUGCUGACAUAAGUAACGAUAAAGCGGGUGAAAAGCCCGCUCGCCGGAAGAC